CUUCUCUGAUGUUAGCGGCGGACGGGUGAGUAACACGUGGGUAACCUACCUAUAAGACUGGGAUAACUCCGGGAAACCGGGGCUAAUACCGGAUAAUAUUUUGAACCGCAUGGUUCGAUAGUGAAAGACGGUUUCGGCUGUCACUUAUAGAUGGACCCGCGCCGUAUUAGCUAGUUGGUAAGGUAACGGCUUACCAAGGCGACGAUACGUAGCCGACCUGAGAGGGUGAUCGGCCACACUGGAACUGAGACACGGUCCAGACUCCUACGGGAGGCAGCAGGG
rnacentral:rRNA from 1 species